rnacentral:lncRNA from 1 species
ACUCACUAAACUGUUUCAUUCGACGAACAUGAUACAUAUUCUCUUUCAUGUUUAAACAAAAAAUUACUAUAAAAAAACCAUAAGUAUCACUGAACAAAAAAAUUAUUAAUUACCAGAACACUCCCGUAAAGUAGAAUGAAAAACCAAAAAAAGAAAAAGAAAAAGGUAGAAAAGGCAUAGUUUCACUGAUAGGCUAAUUAGGGUU